AACGAACGCUGGCGGCAUGCCUAACACAUGCAAGUCGAACGAGACCUUCGGGUCUAGUGGCGCACGGGUGCGUAACGCGUGGGAACCUGCCCUUAGGUUCGGAAUAACUCCCCGAAAGGGGUGCUAAUACCGGAUAAUGUCUUCGGACCAAAGAUUUAUCGCCUUUGGAUGGGCCCGCGUUGGAUUAGCUAGUUGGUAGGGUAAAAGCCUACCAAGGCGACGAUCCAUAGCUGGUCUGAGAGGAGGAUCAGCCACACUGGGACUGAGACACGGCCCAGACUCCUACGGGAGGCAGCAGUGGGUAAUAUUGGACAAGGGGCGAAGGCCUGAUCCAGCAAUGCCGCGUGAGUGAUGAAGGCCUUAGGGUUGUAAAGCUCUUUUACCCGAGAUGAUAAUGACAGUACCGGGAGAAUAAGCUCCGGCUAACUCCGUG
rnacentral:rRNA from 1 species